ACACUCGUCAUUGCGCAUUCGUGACAAGCAAGCACUGAGCACUCAAAAUGCGCACUCUUGCGGCAUCGCUCUGUGCUUUCGCGGUGUUUAGUGUCGUCUGCUGCGACGUCCAAGAACGCGGUCACACCUACCGGACCAGGAAUGUGACUGUCGAAGAUGGAGCCUGCGUCUUUGAGCGCAACGUCAUACCGGAUGGUGAAACUAAGGCGCUCAACAGCCCCUGCGUCCUUUCCACCUGCUACGCUGAGGCCCGCGAAGUGAAUUCGACGCUCUGCCCGAACAUUGGAGUCGAGGAGGGCUGCAGGGUGGAGUGGACCCCUGUCGGAGAGUAUCCCAACUGCUGCCCGAAGCAUGUGUGCCCCACCACCUCUUAAGGGGCCUCAAGUGCGGAAACAACACUGAAGCAUCCUAUUGCCUUUAUAGAUUCAAUGGUACUAUCGGCAAGUGGGACUCGUUGAAUUGUGACAUGAAACGCGCCAGAAAGAGACUGACUUGAUGUUGAAAGUAAGCCAUAAUAAACAAUAAAUCUUUCUUCGUAUUUUCUA